rnacentral:rRNA from 1 species
AUUGAACGCUGGCGGCAGGCUUAACACAUGCAAGUCGAGCGGAGAGAGGUAGCUUGCUACUGAUCUUAGCGGCGGACGGGUGAGUAAUGCUUAGGAAUCUGCCUAUUAGUGGGGGACAACAUUUCGAAAGGAAUGCUAAUACCGCAUACGUCCUACGGGAGAAAGCAGGGGAUCUUCGGACCUUGCGCUAAUAGAUGAGCCUAAGUCGGAUUAGCUAGUUGGUGGGGUAAAGGCCUACCAAGGCGACGAUCUGUAGCGGGGCUGAGAGGAUGAUCCGCCACACUGGGACUGAGACACGGCCCAGACUCCUACGGGAGGCAGCAGUGGGGAAUAUUGGACAAUGGGCGCAAGCCUGAUCCAGCCAUGCCGCGUGUGUGAAGAAGGCCUUAUGGUUGUAAAGCACUUUAAGCGAGGAGGAGGCUACUUUAGUUAAUACCUAGAGAUAGUGGACGUUACUCGCAGAAUAAGCACCGGCUAACUCUGUGCCAGCCGCCGCGGUAAUAC